CUUGCUGAGUUUUGUAUAUGCUGCAUUGACACAUUUUGGAAAAAUGGUCAUAUCUCUUAGUUCAGCUAUCGGGUUUGCGCACGGGUUUUUUAUUCGAAAACUAAACUCGUAUGUCUUUCGGAAUAUGUAGGGGUUGUGACUUGUUUUUGCUAGGUUAAAUCAGUUUUUAGUUUGAAGUUGGUGGACGUGCAAAAUCUGCAAUUUUUGACAGUUGUGUGUGUAACUUCGGACGAGCAUAAUUUUGUCGUCCAGACUCCAUUUUAGGCAAAUUAUAUAUCGAAAUUGAUGUAAUGGAAGUCUACUUUCUAAUGGUAGUGGUCUCAUGACCUGAUUUUAAACCCAAAAGAAGUUAUAGGUAGAAUACGACAGGCUGGUCUUAGAUUUUAAACCAAAUGUAGGGGUUAGGUGGUGUUUGAGUGCUACGAUUGUUUAGGGACACUUCUAAACCUUUGAGAUGGACAUGCUUAUAUGCGUUAAGCAUCGUUAAUCUAUUGUUGGUGUUAUAGAUUGUUGUUAGGAGUUAGUUUUGACGUUUAAGCGUUCAAUAAACUGAUAUGGUAAGCUUGUGGCUAUGUAACAAGCUAGUCAAUUGGGAGGUGCCGAAAUCUUAAGUUUGGCGUACCUCGGUCGAUACGAAGGUAGCAGGUUGCUUAGAGUGGGUCCACUACCGGUCAUCGCGUUGAGGAGUGUUUGGGCUAGCCUUGGAUGUUGUGGAUGGUCGAGUUUGUUGUAGGUAGUUGAGGAAGAAGUUGUUUUGUUUAAGUUGUAAUUAAGUUGUCGGUGGACAUGUUGAGGUAUGUAAUUUUCUAAAGUUUAUCUAAAUCGAGGUUGUAGUUGGUUGGUCGACACGUUGACUCAUUUUAUGUUAAA